GGGGAUUAUGUUUCGAACUACAUUUAAUCCCUAAAUCCUAAAAAAUCUGAUUAUAAACCAUAAUAAGAGUUAUAACCAGAAGGCUAAUGUCCAUCCUUUUAUUUUGAUUGUUGUAUCCGGAAGUCGUCUUCAAAUUCUGCCCGUCAUUGUUUUAUUGUUGCAAGUGCCAACCGGAAGUGGUGUUCGUCGUGACGGGGUUUAGCUUGAGAGUUGUGACGGGACAGGCGGAGGAGGAUCAACGGGCAUAAUUUCACAUGAACCGGUAGCCUCUCCGGAGAGGUGUCAGCGGUAAAUGAAGACAGAAGACUUCCCGUCGGUAGUUUAUAUUGUAUUUACGGUGUGUGUCGGUGAUGUCGGACGGUGAAAGCUGAUGAAGUUCACCCGGGAUAUCUGCCGGUUGCUGGGUUUAGGAGGCGAGGGGAGGAAACCGCCAUGGCCGCCCGGCAGCCUUGAGAACCAGAUUUCAGCACAGGUGCUUUCAUAUCAAACAGUGACGCGUGGUCGGUGUAACCCUCAACUUCCUUCAACAUGUUUGUAGUUCAGAUAAAACGGCUCCUUUUUUACUGCAACGUCAGACGGAGUCCAUUGCACAAGUAAACGGUAGUAAUUUCAAAGAACGCAAGUCUGUUGACAAUUUGCCAAUUAUGUAUUAACUCACAUCGCAAAUCACUUUGUGAUGCAUGUGGAGAACACGUGGAAACAACUCGGUGGCUGUGGGCUGAUGUGCAAUCAAAUCAAAACAAUAUGUUACGUAAUCGAAUAUCUUUGGCGGUGAUACUGUUAUAGAGUGCUUGGCUGUGCGACUGUAACGUAAGAAAGACUUGGAGUAAGUACAUAGUUCCCUCAGACAUGUUGAGUGAGCGUACGUGCAGGUUUCCGUCACAUUCACACGAUGAACGCAAAGUGAAUUCUAAACGGAUUCCCUCUGCAAACAAAUGUGAGUUUUCUGUAGUUGGCGCAAACUGAAGUGAAGUGAAGUGAAGACUGGAAUUGACCAGAACAUGUACGGUCAGCUGAUCCCAAAGCUGUGUGACCGGACUUCAUGAAGUUAGACACAAAAGUCAAAUAGAGAAAUAGAAAAUAACAGAAACAGUUUGUCAAGACAAAACAAUCCACUUGGACUUGAACAUGUUCACCCAAGAGGGAGUCUCAGGUAUUUAACUCUCAUGGCGUUGUUCACACCAUGACGAGUUAAUCUGAUGGCCAGACGACAGAGGAUGACUUAGUGUCGCCUUCUACUCCCCGAGUGGAUGAGAAUAAUCUUCACAGAGAAGGGAAAGUUUUAAGAUGAGUCACACACAGUCGGUGCACGCUCCAGCUUUCAAAGUCACAUGAUUAACGCACAAUAAUAAAACCCACCUUGUUUCUUUUGUCUUCUUGUGUUUGCAGAAUGAAAACUGAAACAAAGGCU
rnacentral:lncRNA from 1 species